UGAUACAAGAAUAGAGAAGAAGAAGUGCCCGCUGCGAGCUCGCUCGUAAGCGGGCACUUCUUUCUUCUCUAUUCGCCAACAAUACGCACGCGCCGCCAUUUUUCGAAGAAAAAUGAGCAGAGCGUGCGUAUUGUUGUAGGACUGCGAGAGUGCGAAGCACGGAGCAGUCCGGUAUCA
rnacentral:sRNA from 1 species